rnacentral:lncRNA from 1 species
GAUGUGUGUUGAGCUCCUGGCACACAGGAUAUUCAAGCCAUACCUGUUGCUCUUCCUGCCCUUUGUCACAACUGCCUGGUGGUGUAACUGUUUGUGGUAAGGCCCCCCUGAGAACAGAUGGCUCCCCUGUGUGUCUCCCUCGGAGUCUGGCAUGAAGCAAGCAAGCAUCUCUGCCAGCGCUGUUCAAUAGGAGAAUAAUAUGAGCUGCAUAUUUUCUACAUUUUCUAGCAGCCAUGGGAAAUCUAUUUUAGUAAUGUAUUUUAUUUGGCCUAAUAGUUUCAAAGUAUUUCAACUUCUAAGAAAUAUAAAAAUUAUUAAUAUUUUGUGUUCACUUCUUCGUACCAAGUCUUCAUAAUCUGUUUUUUACUCAACAGUGCAUCUCAGUUUGGACUAGCCAUAUUUCAAGUAGCCACAUGUGGCUGAUGGCCACCGUAUGGGGCAGCACAGGUCUAUACUGCAUUUGGGUAGAGGUAACGUAAAUGUCAAAGGUAUGAGGUGUGUAACUUUAAGGCUGGCGGGAGGCCAUAUUGUAGCAGGAUGUAGGUGCCAUAGCAUCUUGGCAUUACUCUCGUCCCAAGAAAAAGCCGCAGAAGUUUAUAAAAACCCAUUGGGCUAAGGGGAGAACUUCAAGGGCAGCUGCAUAGAGAAAGAAAUGAAGAUGUGUGUUUGCUAGAUCCUGAGUGUUUCAGCCAGAGACUGUAUAGGGAAUGAUAAUGGAGGCAUGUGCUAGGAGAAGCAGGCAAGGGCCGUGAUACAAUCUGCAGCCCUGAUAUUAUUAUGUUUGUGCUAUUAAUCUAAUAUUUCUACCCCCAUUUUUCAAGAAUGUUUGCAGGGUGGUUCCAGUGAGCCCAUAGAUGCAGAAUAGCCAGGAGCUGGGGCAGGAGGUGGGGAGGAUUACAUAAGGAGCAGUGUUCCCCAGAGCUUCAACGGGAAUGCACAGUCCUGUUAGCCACUGGUCAUGACACUUGCUUUGUACUGGGAAUGGAGUGGGGGUUGAGUGUGCACAAGACCUUAGCAUCCAUUAUCUCCUUGAUGGUUCCUCACACCCUGAGCCUGGGUAGUUUUACCUGCCUCCAUCAUGAACGUCUUGUGAAAGAGCACGACUAAAACCAGAGCACUCAGAGCGAGGUUCACUCAAGAAGGAAAAUGCAGGGGCCUGUCCAGUGAUGAUGUUUGAAGCACACUGGCACCUUUAUGGCUGUUGCUUUUUUGCUUUUGGCAAUGUCUACAAACACUUGGGCUCUUUUUAAUAUAAUUAGGAAACAUGGCAUAAAUUGAAUGCUGUCUAAAAAUGAGUGGUUUAAGAUUGUCUUUCAUAUCAAAAAGAAAAACAGUUGUAUAGGCUGCCAUGCAUAUCUGCCACCAGAGAAAUCGCAUUUUCCAAAUGUUUUGUUUUUUUUAAUAUCCUUUAAGAAGUACAUUUUUCAAAUAGUUGCUAUUAUUUUAAUUAAUCAGUAAAAUCAGCUUCUAAUUUGACUAUAAAAUUAUCAGUUCGCCAUUAGAAUAGCUAUAAAGUUAGUUUUAAAUGUGAGCUCUUUCAAAAUUGUGCAGCAUAGGAUUUAUGUGAAAUGGUAUUUUAAUUACUUUAUUCAUUCUUUGUGAGGAAAAUGAACUUUCAUUUCUCAUGGCAGUAUUUCAUUGUGAUUAUUGGUUACUCAUAAUUAUAUGUACUUGUUCCUGUGACAGGGAAUAAGCAGCGUUUUCUACAAUAAUAUGCAUGAGACUCCCUAAUAUUUUCUAAAUUAGUUUGUAUGUUUAUAUUCUUAGUCCUCACAACAAAUAGCUAAUUGCUUUAAAUUAAAUAAAACCUCAAGCUUCCUCAACCAAAUUCUAGUUUAUUUUUAACUUUCCCUUUGAGAACCAGGAGAUAAUGGAGUAUGGUGAUAAAUAUUUUUGAAGCAAAUUUUGCAUUAGGAUGUUGGAGUUAGAGGUUAUCAUGUUGAUGGAGAAGGCUAAUCCUACAGCUCUUCAUUUUCUCAUCAGUCUUACUACAUCUGGGAGUUGGUGUAUUCUCUAUUCAUUACUUACUGCCCUAGCAAGAUUCUUCCUGACCCAUUAAAUGAAGCCCUAGACAAAGUGGAGAGAACAUUGUUUUAGUGAGGUCGAGCACACACAGGUGUUAUUAGCCGGUCUUAAGAGAGGUGCUUUUUACUUUGAGCAAAAAAGCCAAAUUAAUCAUUUCAUAUCUAAGGCUUUUAAGUUUAAUUAAAUCUUUUUCAUCCAUUAUUUAUUGACUAGAGCUGGUUGUUUUGGCUUUAUAUAACCUUAGUUUUGGAAUAGAAAGUGAGGAAGAAAAACCAGUCAAAAUGGUGAGUUAAAUCCAUACCGAAGGUUGCAACUCUUUGUGUUACAUGGUGAAGUGCAGGAUUAGAGGAUAAUAUAACACACAAUGCAGGGUGAUAAAGCUGCCUUUUGGUGGGUCCCUUGAACACCACAUACUUAGCAAAAAUAGAACCUUUCCUUUUUUCUGAUCAAGAAUAACUGUAAACAUUUUUUUUUGGAAGUUGCAGAAAUGAAAGCCUGAAUUUCUAUAGUAGGCUAGUGUUAUGAUCAAUAAGUCAUUUUAGUUGACUAAAAGAUAGCAUAGUCAACUUGUCU